rnacentral:rRNA from 1 species
GAUGAACGCUGGCGGCGUGCUUAACACAUGCAAGUCGAACGAUGAAGCCCAGCUUGCUGGGUGGAUUAGUGGCGAACGGGUGAGUAACACGUGAGUAACCUGCCCUUAACUCUGGGAUAAGCCUGGGAAACUGGGUCUAAUACCGGAUAGGAGCGUCCACCGCAUGGGGGGUGUUGGAAAGAUUUAUCGGUUUUGGAUGGACUCGCGGCCUAUCAGCUUGUUGGUGAGGUAAUGGCUCACCAAGGCGACGACGGGUAGCCGGCCUGAGAGGGUGACCGGCCACACUGGGACUGAGACACGGCCCAGACUCCUACGGGAGGCAGCGGUGGAGUAUAUUGCACAAUGGGCGGAAGCCUGAUGCAGCGACGCCGCGUGGGGGAUGACGGCCUUCGGGUUGUAAACCUCUUUCAGUAGGGAAGAAGCGAAAGUGACGGUACCUGCAGAAGAAGCACCGGCUAACUACGUG